CUACGGGAGGCAGCAGUGAGGGAUAUUGCGCAAUGGGGGAAACCCUGACGCAGCGACGCCGCGUGGGUGAUGAAGGCCUUCGGGUCGUAAAACCCUUUUGCCACUGACGAGACAAGGACGGUAGGUGGCGAAUAAGCCUCGGCUAACUACGUGCCAGCAGCCGCGGUAAAACGUAGGAGGCGAGCGUUAUCCGGAGUUACUGGGCGUAAAGCGCGCGCAGGCGGUUCGUUAAGUGGGGCGUGAAAGCCCCGUGCUAAACGCGGGGAGGACGAACCAUACUGAUGAACUGGAGUAGAGCAGAGGGACAUGGAAUUCCGGGUGUAGCGGUGAAAUGUGCAGAUAUCCGGAGGAACACCAGAGGUGAAAACGGUGUCCUGGGCUCAUACUGACGCUGAGGCGCGAAAGCGUGGGGAGCGAACGGGAUUAGAUACCCGAGUAGUCC
rnacentral:rRNA from 1 species